GCUUGCAUUGGCAGAGUAUAUACUAAAAUUGAAACGAUACAGAGAAGAUUAGCAUAGUCCCUUUGUAAGGAAGGCAUUCAAAUUUCUGAAGUGUCAUUCAUUCAU